CCUACGGGAGGCAGCAGUGAGGAAUCUUGGUCAAUGGGCGCGAGCCUGAACCAGCCAAGUCGCGUGAAGGAUGACUGCCCUACGGGUUGUAAACUUCUUUUAUAUAGGAAUAAAGUCAGGCACGUGUGCCUUUUUGUCUGUACUUUAUGAAUAAGGAUAGGCUAACUCCGUGCCAGCAGCCGCGGUAAUACGGAGGAUCCGAGCGUUAUCCGGAUUUAUUGGGUUUAAAGGGAGCGUAGAUGGGUUGUUAAGUCAGUUGUGAUAGUUUGCGGCUCAACCGUAAAAGUGCAAUUGAUACUGGCAGUCUUGAGUGCAGUUGAGGUAGGCGGAAUUCGUGGUGUAGCGGUGAAAUGCGUAGAUAUAACGAAGAACUCCGAUUGCGAAGGCAGCUUACUAAACUGCCACUGACAUUGAUGCGCGAAAGUGUGGGUAUCAAACAGGAUUAGAUACCCUUGUAGUC
rnacentral:rRNA from 1 species